AACCCCCCUUUCACUUUGCCAGUUAGACAUCUCUUGUCUUUAUUGGUCAUUCAAGUGGGGUAAAAAAGCAUCCUUUUAAAACCCAAGCAAAUUGUUAUUAUUUGGCUUGGAUCCUGUCAGGGGAAACAGUC
rnacentral:snoRNA from 1 species